rnacentral:rRNA from 1 species
AGAUGGCGACCGGCGCACGGGUGAGUAACGCGUAUCCAACCUGCCCUUUACUCGGGGAUAGCCUUUCGAAAGAAAGAUUAAUACCCGAUAGCAUAAUGAUUCCGCAUGGUUUCAUUAUUAAAGGAUUCCGGUAAAGGAUGGGGAUGCGUUCCAUUAGGUUGUUGGUGAGGUAACGGCUCACCAAGCCUUCGAUGGAUAGGGGUUCUGAGAGGAAGGUCCCCCACAUUGGAACUGAGACACGGUCCAA